rnacentral:rRNA from 1 species
GACAGAGGGUGCAAACGUUGUCCGGAAUUAUUGGGCGUAAAGAGCUCGUAGGCGGUUUGUUGCGUCGGCUGUGAAAUCCCGAGGCUCAACCUCGGGUCUGCAGUCGAUACGAGCAAACUAGAGUGUUGCAGGGGAGACUGGAAUUCCUGGUGUAGCGGUGAAAUGCGCAGAUAUCAGGAGGAACACCGGUGGCGAAGGCGGGUCUCUGGGCAACAACUGACGCUGAGGAGCGAAAGCGUGGGGAGCGAACAGG